AUUGAACGCUGGCGGCAGGCCUAACACAUGCAAGUCGAGCGAGUGGCGGACGGGUGAGUAAUGUAUGGGGAUCUGCCUGAUAGAGGGGGAUAACUACUGGAAACGGUGGCUAAUACCGCAUACUAUCGGAUGAACCCAUAUGGGAUGAGCUAGUAGGUGGGGUAAAGGCUCACCAAGGCGACGAUCUCUAGCUGGUCUGAGAGGAUGAUCAGCCACACUGGAACGGAGACACGGCCCAGACUCCUACGGGAGGCAGCAGUGGGGAAUAUUGCACAAUGGGCGCAAGCCUGAUGCAGCCAUGCCGCGUGUAUGAAGAAGGCCUUAGGGUUGUAAAGUACUUUCAGCGGGGAGGCGUUACCCGCAGAAGAAGCACCGGCUAACUCCGUGCCAGCCGCCGCGGUAAUUC
rnacentral:rRNA from 1 species